GAGUUCUCCCUGAGACUUAGAGUCUCCUGAAGGAACGUUGAAGACGACGACGUUGAUAGGCCGGGUGUGUAAGCGCAGCGAUGCGUUGAGCUAACCGGUACUAAUGAACCGUGAGGCUUAACCUUACAACGCCGAAG
rnacentral:rRNA from 23 species